rnacentral:rRNA from 1 species
CUAAAUACUACCCAGUGACCGAUAGCGUAUAGUACUGUGAAGGAAAGGUGAAAAGCACCCCGGGAGGGGAGUGAAAAAGAACCUGAAACCCUGUGCCUACAAGCACCUAGAGCACGUCAAUGUGUGAUAGGGUACUUUUUGUAGAACGGUCCGGCGAGCGAUUGUAUGCAGCAAGGUUAAGGACUUAAGGUCUGGAGCCGAAGCGAAAGCGAGUUUGAAAAGGGCGUUAAGUUGCAUACAAUGGGCCCGAAACCGGGUGACCUACCCAUGGUCAGGUUGAAGUGGAAGUAAAAUUCCAUGGAGGACCGAACCGACCUCCGUUGAAAAGGCGGCGGAUGAACUGUGGGUAGCGGAGAAAUUCCAAUCGAACCCGGAGAUAGCUGGUUCUCCCCGAAAUAGUUUUAGGACUAGCCUCAAGUUAGAUACCUGGAGGUAAAGCACUGAAUAGCCUAGCGGCCGAGAGGUUAGCGAAGCUUAUCAAACUCAGAAUGCCAGAGUAUUGAUGCUUGGGAGUCAGACAGUGUCAGAUAAAUGUCAUUGUCAAAAGGGAAACAGCCCAGAUCUACAGCUAAGGUCCCAAAGUCAGGUUAAGUGGAAAACGAUGUGAAGAUACGUAGACAACCAGGAUGUUGGCUCAGAAGCAGCCACACAUUCAAAGAGUGCGUAAUAGCUCACUGGUCGAGCGUCUUUGCGCGGAGAAUUUAACGGGGCUAAACCUGACACCGAAGCUUAGGCAAUGUAGUAAUACAUUGGGUAGGGGAGCGUUGUAUACGCGGUGAAACAGUAGCGCAAGCGGCUGUGGAGUGUAUAGAAGUGAGAAUGCCGGAAUGAGUAGCGCGAAUGCAGUGAGAAUCUGCAUGGCCGAAAGCCUCAGGUUUCUGGAGGAAGGUUCGUCCGCUCCAGGUUAGUCGGGAGCUAAGGUGAGGCCUAACGGCGUAGCCGAUGCACAGACGGUAGAGAUUCCGUCACCACCAAAAGAGUUAAACACAGGGACACAUUUGAAGUCUCGGAGCCGGGUGUUGGUUCCGGUAGCGAUCGAGGGAAAUUAGUACCGAAGUCCGGGAUGGAAGAUGGCGAGAAAAGCUGUGUGUAUUUCUGCGGUGCCCGUACCGCAAACCGACACAGGUAGGUAGGAAGAAGAUUCUAAGGCCAACGGGAGAAGGGUUGUUAAGGAACUCGGCAAAUUGACCCCGUAACUUCGGGAGAAGGGGUGCUCCAGAGAUGGAGCCGCAGAGAAUCGGCCCAAGCAACUGUUUACCAAAAACACAGGUUUGUGCUAAAUCGAAAGAUGACGUAUACGAGCUGACGCCUGCCCGGUGCUGGAAGGUUAAGAGGAGAUGUGCAAGCAUUGAAUCGAAGCCCCAGUGAACGGCGGCCGUAACUAUAACGGUCCUAAGGUAGCGAAAUUCCUUGUCAGGUAAGUUCUGACCCGCACGAAUGGCGUAACGAUCUGGGCACUGUCUCAACAGCCCGCCCGGCGAAAUUGUAGUACCGGUGAAGAUGCCGGUUACCCGCGACAAGACGGAAAGACCCCAUGGAGCUUUACUGUAGCCUAAUAUUGGGUUUCGAUGUUGCAUGCACAGGAUAGAUGGGACACUGGGAAGCAAGAGCUUUGGCUUUUGUGGAGUGGCCGUUGGGAUACCAUCCUUGCGAUAUUGGAAUUCUAACCUGCGCCUUUGAAUCAAGGCGGGGGACAUUGUUAGGUGGGCAGUUUGACUGGGGCGGUCGCCUCCUAAAGAGUAACGGAGGCGUUCAAAGGUUCGCUCAGCUUGAACGGAAAUCAAGCAAAAGAGUGCAAACGCAGAAGCGAGCCUAACUGCGAGACUGACGGGUCGAGCAGUAACGAAAGUUGGAGUUAGUGAUCCGGUGGUAUGUGAGUGGAAAUGCCAUCGCUCAACGGAUAAAAGCUACCCUGGGGAUAACAGGCUGAUCUCCCCCAAGAGUCCACAUCGACGGGGAGGUUUGGCACCUCGAUGUCGGCUCAUCGCAUCCUGGGGCUG